rnacentral:rRNA from 1 species
GACGAACGCUGGCGGCGUGCUUAACACAUGCAAGUCGAGCGGAAAGGCCCUUCGGGGUACUCGAGCGGCGAACGGGUGAGUAACACGUGAGUAACCUGCCCCAGACUUUGGGAUAACCCUCGGAAACGGGGGCUAAUACCGGAUACGACACAGCUUCGCAUGGGGUCUGUGUGGAAAGUUUUUCGGUUUGGGAUGGGCUCGCGGCCUAUCAGCUUGUUGGUGGGGUGAUGGCCUAUCAAGGCGACGACGGGUAGCCGGCCUGAGAGGGCGACCGGCCACACUGGGACUGAGACACGGCCCAGACUCCUACGGGAGGCAGCAGUGGGGAAUAUUGCACAAUGGGCGGAAGCCUGAUGCAGCGACGCCGCGUGAGGGAUGACGGCCUUCGGGUUGUAAACCUCUUUCAGCAGGGACGAAGCGUAAGGGACGGUACCUGCAGAAGAAGCGCCGGCCAACUACGU